rnacentral:lncRNA from 1 species
UGAGCCCGUCGGCCCAACUCCUGAGAUCUUAUUGGGAAGCUGCUAAUCACCAGUUUCAGAUACAGACAGAGGAGAAGGAGAUGUGAAGACAGAGGCAGAGAUUGGAGUGAUGUGACCACAAGUCAAGGAAUGCUGGCAGCAGCUGGAAGAGAGCUAAAGCAAAAGCUGCCAGGCUUUCUAAAUGCUGGGUUCAGAAGUGGCACAGUAUCAUAUGGAUUGCAACUCACAAGGGUAGGGGAAGUGAGCUCCAGUCUUGGCGG